GGACCUUACCUGGCCUUGACAUGGCAGGAACCUUUCAGAGAUGAAGGGGUGCUAGCUUGCUAGAACCUGCACACAGGUGCUGCACGGCUGUCGUCAGCUCGUGUCGUGAGAUGUUGGGUUAAGUCCCGCAACGAGCGCAACCCUCGUCUUUAGUUGCUAACAGUUAGGCUGAGCACUCUAAAGAGACUGCCUCCGUAAGGAGGAGGAAGGUGAGGACGACGUCAAGUCAUCAUGGCCCUUACGGCCAGGGCUACACACGUGCUACAAUGGGGCGUACAGAGAGCUGCAAUACCGCGAGGUGGAGCCAAUCUCUUAAAGCGUCUCUCAGUUCGGAUUGUUCUUUGCAACUCGAGAACAUGAAGCUGGAAUCACUAGUAAU
rnacentral:rRNA from 1 species